rnacentral:rRNA from 1 species
GUCGAACGUGAAGCCCGGUACCUAGUAUUGGGUGGAAAGUGGCGAACGGGUGAGUAACACGUUGGUGACCUGCCCUGAGGAGGGGAAUAACCGUGGGAAACCACGGCUAAUACCCCGGAUGUCUAAGCUGUUAGAGGGCUUAGACUAAAGCCCCUGCAAGGGGUGCGCCUCGGGAGGGGCCUGCGGGCUAUCAGCUUGUUGGUGGGGUAAUGGCUUACCAAGGCGAAGACGGCUAGGGGGCGUGAGAGCGCGACCCCCCACAAUGGAACUGAGACACGGUCCAUACUCCUACGGGAGGCAGCAGUGAGGAAUAUUGCGCAAUGGGGGCAACCCUGACGCAGCAACGCCGCGUGGACGAUGAAGGCCUUCGGGUUGUAAAGUCCUUUUCUGAAGGAAGAUAGUGACGGUACUUCAGGAAUAAGUCCCGGCUAACUACGUGCCAGCAGCCGCGGUAAAACGUAGGGGGCGAGCGUUAUCCGGAUUUACUGGGCGUAAAGCGCACGUAGGCGGCAUCGUAAGUUGGACGUGAAAGCUCCCGGCUCAACUGGGAGAGGUCGUUCAAAACUGUGGUGCUUGAGGUUGAUAGAGGAGAGUGGAAUUCCCGGUGUAGUGGUGGAAUGCGUAGAUAUCGGGAGGAACACCAGUGGCGAAGGCGGCUCUCUAGGUCACACCUGACGCUGAGGUGCGAAAGCGUGGGGAGCGAACGGGAUUAGAUACCCCGGUAGUCCACGCUGUAAACGAUGGAUACUAGGUGUGGGAGGUUAUUAACCCCUUCUGUGCCCGUAGCUAACGCGUUAAGUAUCCCGCCUGGGGACUACGCCCGCAAGGUUAANACUCAAAGGAAUUGACGGGGGCCCGCACAAGCAGCGGAGCGUGUGGUUUAAUUCGAUGAUACGCGAAGAACCUUACGUGGGCUAGACAUGGUGGUAGUAGUGAAGCGAAAGCGGAACGACCCUUCGGGGAGCCAUCACAGGUGCUGCAUGGCUGUCGUCAGCUCGUGUCGUGAGAUGUUGGGUUAAGUCCCGCAACGAGCGCAACCCUCGUCGCUAGUUAUAUGUGUCUAGUGAGACUGCCGGUAUCAAACCGGAGGAAGGUGGGGAUGACGUCAAGUCAGCAUGGUCUUUAUGUCCAGGGCUACACACACGCUACAAUGGCC